rnacentral:lncRNA from 1 species
UCCAUUUGCAUUUGACAAAUUCGCUCAAUUUCCUAAAUUUACAAGCUUAGAGUUAUCUCCUUAAAUUUUAUAUCCAUUUCCGUAAAGAAAAAGAAGAAGGAAAAAAACCCGAUAAGAAGAAAAAGAAAAAGAAAAUGUAAAAAGGAAAAGAAAAUCUAGAAAUCUUCUCAGUCGACCUGCCUAUCAUAAGGGGACAUCUAUAUAUUUAUUUUAAUUGUUUAAAAUAUAUAUUAGUGAAAUAAUUUUUUAAAAUACUUUUUUAUGUGGAUCUUGAGUUUGGUGUAGCUUGGUUGGUAAUGCUCGAGUUGGGGGGAGGGAUGUCCUUUGUUGGUUAAUGUACUUUAUUUUUGUGGUUGUUGUAUCUCUGUUAUUUUUAUCAUAUUGUAUGCUUGCGACAUUUGUCUACGGUCCUUUGUUUUAAGCCGGGGUCUAUCGGAAACAACCUCUCUACUUUUUCG